GACGAACGCUGGCGGCGUGCUUAACACAUGCAAGUCGAACGGUGAAGCGAGUGCUUGCACUCGUGGAUCAGUGGCGAACGGGUGAGUAACACGUGAGUAACCUGCCCAUCACUCUGGGAUAAGCACUGGAAACGGUGUCUAAUACUGGAUACGACCAACCCUUGCAUGGGGUGUUGGUGGAAAGAUUUAUCGGUGAUGGAUGGACUCGCGGCCUAUCAGCUUGUUGGCGGGGUAAUGGCCCACCAAGGCGACGACGGGUAGCCGGCCUGAGAGGGUGACCGGCCACACUGGGACUGUGACGCGGCCCAGACUCCUACGGGAGGCAGCAGUGGGGAAUAUUGCACGAUGGGCGAAAGCCUGAUGCAGCGACGCCGCGUGAGGGAUGACGGCCUUCGGGUUGUAAACCUCUUUCAGCAGGGAAGAAGCGAAAGUGACGGUACCUGCAGAAGAAGCACCGGCUAACUACGUG
rnacentral:rRNA from 1 species